AAGCGACUAAGCGUACACGGUGGAUGCCCUGGCAGUCAGAGGCGAUGAAGGGCGUGCUAAUCUGCGAUAAGCGCCGGUAAGGUGAUAUGAACCGUUAUAACCGGCGAUACCCGAAUGGGGAAACCCAGUGUGACUCGUCACACUAUCAUUAACUGAAUCCAUAGGUUAAUGAGGCGAACCGGGGGAACUGAAACAUCUAAGUACCCCGAGGAAAAGAAAUCAACCGAGAUUCCCCCAGUAGCGGCGAGCGAACGGGGAGGAGCCCAGAGCCUGAAUCAGCAUGUGUGUUAGUGGAAGCGUCUGGAAAGGCGCGCGAUACAGGGUGACAGCCCCGUACACAAAAGCGCAUGUGCUGUGAGCUCGAUGAGUAGGGCGGGACACGUGGUAUCCUGUCUGAAUAUGGGGGGACCAUCCUCCAAGGCUAAAUACUCCUGACUGACCGAUAGUGAACCAGUACCGUGAGGGAAAGGCGAAAAGAACCCCGGCGAGGGGAGUGAAAAAGAACCUGAAACCGUGUACGUACAAGCAGUGGGAGCACCCUUUGGGUGUGACUGCGUACCUUUUGUAUAAUGGGUCAGCGACUUAUAUUCUGUAGCAAGGUUAACCGAAUAGGGGAGCCGGAGGGAAACCGAGUCUUAAUUGGGCGUUAAGUUGCAGGGUAUAGACCCGAAACCCGGUGAUCUAGCCAUGGGCAGGUUGAAGGUUGGGUAACACUAACUGGAGGACCGAACCGACUAAUGUUGAAAAAUUAGCGGAUGACCUGUGGCUGGGGGUGAAAGGCCAAUCAAACCGGGAGAUAGCUGGUUCUCCCCGAAAGCUAUUUAGGUAGCGCCUCGUGAAUUCAUCUCCGGGGGUAGAGCACUGUUUCGGCUAGGGGGCCAUCCCGGCUUACCAACCCGAUGCAAACUGCGAAUACCGGAGAAUGUUAUCACGGGAGACACACGGCGGGUGCUAACGUCCGUCGUGAAGAGGGAAACAACCCAGACCGCCAGCUAAGGUCCCAAAGUCAUGGUUAAGUGGGAAACGAUGUGGGAAGGCCCAGACAGCCAGGAUGUUGGCUUAGAAGCAGCCAUCAUUUAAAGAAAGCGUAAUAGCUCACUGGUCGAGUCGGCCUGCGCGGAAGAUGUAACGGGGCUAAACCAUGCACCGAAGCUGCGGCAGCGACGCUUAUGCGUUGUUGGGUAGGGGAGCGUUCUGUAAGCCUGCGAAGGUGGCCUGUGAGGGUUGCUGGAGGUAUCAGAAGUGCGAAUGCUGACAUAAGUAACGAUAAAGCGGGUGAAAAGCCCGCUCGCCGGAAGACCAAGGGUUCCUGUCCAACGUUAAUCGGGGCAGGGUGAGUCGACCCCUAAGGCGAGGCCGAAAGGCGUAGUCGAUGGGAAACGGGUUAAUAUUCCCGUACUUGGUGUUACUGCGAAGGGGGGACGGAGAAGGCUAUGUUGGCCGGGCGACGGUUGUCCCGGUUUAAGCGUGUAGGCUGGUUUUCCAGGCAAAUCCGGAAAAUCAAGGCUGAGGCGUGAUGACGAGGCACUACGGUGCUGAAGCAACAAAUGCCCUGCUUCCAGGAAAAGCCUCUAAGCAUCAGGUAACAUCAAAUCGUACCCCAAACCGACACAGGUGGUCAGGUAGAGAAUACCAAGGCGCUUGAGAGAACUCGGGUGAAGGAACUAGGCAAAAUGGUGCCGUAACUUCGGGAGAAGGCACGCUGACACGUAGGUGAAGUGAUUUACUCACGGAGCUGAAGUCAGUCGAAGAUACCAGCUGGCUGCAACUGUUUAUUAAAAACACAGCACUGUGCAAACACGAAAGUGGACGUAUACGGUGUGACGCCUGCCCGGUGCCGGAAGGUUAAUUGAUGGGGUCAGCGCAAGCGAAGCUCCUGAUCGAAGCCCCGGUAAACGGCGGCCGUAACUAUAACGGUCCUAAGGUAGCGAAAUUCCUUGUCGGGUAAGUUCCGACCUGCACGAAUGGCGUAAUGAUGGCCAGGCUGUCUCCACCCGAGACUCAGUGAAAUUGAACUCGCUGUGAAGAUGCAGUGUACCCGCGGCAAGACGGAAAGACCCCGUGAACCUUUACUAUAGCUUGACACUGAACAUUGAGCCUUGAUGUGUAGGAUAGGUGGGAGGCUUUGAAGUGUGGACGCCAGUCUGC
rnacentral:rRNA from 1 species